rnacentral:lncRNA from 1 species
AGACCAGUCGUCCAGCUUUAUCGCUAAGAAACACAAAAAUUAUAUGUACAUGUAUUGUUAGGUACAAGCUACAAGAAGAAUGGGUUUGAAAAUGUCAAGCAAUGCUCUUCUUCUAUCUUUGUUUCUUCUACUUCUUUGUCUCUUUUCUGACAUUAGAGGAAUUGAGACCACUCACCGAAGACUAGGUUAGUGCCUUCUUAUAUAUGUUUCUUAACAUCUUAUAUUAACCUAAUUUAUGAAACUAAUAUAAAGGAUCAAUUGUUUCAAAUCAUAGAUGUAUACCAACUAAAUGUAGAUGUAAAUAUUUGAUAUAUUUUUUUUGGUACACCCAUAAAACAAAAUGUAACUAAAGAACAAACGAACUUAACGUAGAGUAUAAUUGUAAAGCUUAAUUUUUCAUUCACAGUUGCAUGUAAAAUGAUAUUGUGGUUGCAUUUAUUUUCAUUCAAAUUAUUAAAAUUUUCAUGUAUUGUUCUAUAUAUGAUUCUUAUUCACCAUUUAUAACACAUAUAUGAUUCUUAUUCACCAUUUAUAACAUAAAGUCCGCAUUAUUGAUCCAUAUAUAGUAGGUUCAUCUUGUUCAUGCGGAGGCAAAGGAAGUGGUUUUUCACGAAGAUCACAUGAACGACCAUGCCCACGUUCACGUCCUUUUCCA